AAGCGCCGUACAUGUUACUGGGCGUGCGGUGAAGUGUAGACGGGAAAGAGCGAAAAAAUUAUAUCUUUCUUGAGCGUGUGGCGUUGGUGAAGGAUGCAACAUCGGCGCAUUCCCCAAUUUUUACGCUGAGGGACACCAUUUCUAUCGAUUCGGAUUCAGCGGGUCGAAAUACAUAAGGAUUGACUAGUCUAGUCCGCCGGACCAACCACUUUUUUUUUUGUGUGCCUGUGUAUUUAAAGUCGAGGCAAAGAGAUAGAGAUGUCAAGCGUGAAGACAAGAAGAGAGGAAGACGGAGUAUAUGAAGUUGGCACCCUUUUUUUGAAAAUCACAAUUUCGAAAGUUAUUCCAGGUUGUUUUAACCUUGUUCUACAUUGUUCCAAAGUGACAAAAUUUUAUCACAAACGGUUCUCUAUGAAAUAAAAGAAAAUGAUUUUUUGAGCUGGCACCGCUUUUUCAUGAAUCAAAAAAUUCGUUAUUGCUAUAGAUUGUUCUAGUUGUUUCAAGCAUUGUUUCAAAAGAAAAACUUCAUAAGAUAAACAAGAAGCUAUGAAAAAAAAAAAAAUUUUUGAGCUGGCACCCCUUUUUGCAAAAAUUAUAUAAUUUGCUAUUAUUAUAGAUUGUUAUAGUUGUUUGAAGCAUCGUUCCAAAGUAUAGUCUCUAAGUAUAGUUCCAAAGUAUAAAGUUUAAAAUAUGACUUUUGGACAACUAUAAGAUACAUCUUGAAGAAAAAAGUUCAAAUUUUAAGAAGAAAAAUAUGUCGCGUUCUUUUAAAAAAUAUGAUUGUUUUGUAUAUUGAAGAUUACCGAUUUUCAAAAAAGGUUUUUUUCGCUACGCACGUUGUUUUUCAAAUAAAUAAUUAAAUAGAAGACAAAAUAAGAAUAUAUACACAUAAAUAUAUAAAAAAUACAUUUAUUAAUUAAUCAAAAUUCAAGAAAAUAUUAAGGCAGAUCAGCGGAACAUUGUAAACAGGCUUUUGCAACAUGAUUGGUACACAUAGCACGUAGACAUUUUAAGCGAUAAAUCAAUAUAUCAAUAUAAUAAUACAUGAAAUCUUAUAAUUCUUAACAAUAAUGAUAAUACUUACAUGAUAAUCAACUUAACUGCAAAGUUGUAUAUUUUUAAUUUGUUAAAAGUUGCGUUAUCACGCUUUGGGAUCACUGAGACUUCAAACAAAAGUUUAUAUUUGUUUGUCUUUGUUGCCGAAGGAAGACUGACGCCGGCAACCGUUCAAGAUUAUAAUAUAACUAACAAACAUUCCCCCCCUCCAGUCCGGGAUUUCGGGCGACGCUGUGAACGAAGGGAUAAUUGGAAAAAAAAGGAAUAAGAAGUUUCUAAAAUUAGGAAACGAAAGGAUGUAGUCUUUAGCGCAUGCAUAUUAUGAUAUGAUUAUUUUAGCGGAAACGGGAAAGUUUUGGAGAAUACAAUGCUUAAAAAGGUUUUAUAGAAUAAAAAAUUAAAGCUAAAUUUCAAGAAAACAAAAGUAAUGGUAUUUAAUAGAAAUGGAAAAAAGGAAAAAUGAAACUGGGAAAAUAAGAAGUUAGAAGAAGUAAGGACAUUCAAAUAUUUUAUGUUUAACAGGAAAGGGGAAUAUAAAAAUUACAUUAAAGAGUUACUGAAAAAAAGGAAGUUGGCAAAUAACAAGGUUUCGGUUUUAGCAUUGUAAAAAUAAUUUUAGUACAUGAUUAUUGCUAUUUAACCUUUAAAAUACUGGCCCUUUUUACACGAUUUUUUUAGUUUUAGUGCUAGAAAAUUUGUGUCCUUGUCAGUGAAUUGAACUAUGAAAAAGAUAAUAUUGCUCCAGCGUCUUAUAUUAGGCUUCUAAUCAGAAAAAAAAGAGUGAUUAUUUUUCGUUGUAUUUGAAAUUUACGUUAUUGUUUAUUGUUAAAAUAAUUGUUUAACGCCAUUUAAAUUAAAAAUGUGUUAAAAAAUAUGUAUAAGAACAUAAUUAUGUCGCACUUUGUGAGGUAUAAGGCAGUAAAAUUUUAUUAUACAUAUUUUUUAAGGUAUAUUUUAACAUUUAAUUACACAUACUUCCUCAUUCUUUUUAAACUUAACCGCAUUAUCACCCAAAUGUAUGUACAGUAUUGAGUACUUUCUUAUUAUUUAACUUUUUACUUGGCUGUAUAUAUUUUGAGUUAUACAAAAUUAAACGAUGAUAUAGGAUGUUGUCAAUAUGGCCAUCUAAGUGUGCUAUGAGGUAAUAUAGUCACUUUCGAAAUCUCCAUAUCGACAAAAUUUCUCGAUAAAUCGAUUAAAGGCUUAAUUUAAGGCUGUUAAUCUUUUUAAAUCCUUUAUAUGAAUAAGGUUCUUCAGAUAUAAGGUUAUUUUUAUUUAAUUUUCAUUAAAUGUGAAUAAAAAUCACCUGUUUCAAUAUAACAACUUAUUUUAUGUACAUAUAAAUGUUUCUAACAAAAUACUGUGACCUUUUUAAACAAAACCAAUUUUUUUACAUUUAUUUUUGUGGUGGUCAUAUUACUCUCCCUAUUUCUUUUUGGCCCAUUAUGCAGUAUCGUUACAUUUUUAUAAAUAAUCUAUAACAUAAUGAAUAUUUUAUAACUUUGAAUUGAAAAUCUAAUGAGUAACACUUUGAUGAAUAUAAUUGUAAAAUUUUAACUCAAAACAUUGAUUAUUAACGAAGUUUGAUUGGGAUACAAGAGCAAUAAAACUGUUAAGGAAUAAUGUAGAGAGGGAUAUAAUAAAAGAAUUGGAGACAGACAUACAAAAACAUUGAGAAAGAAAGUAAAUUAAGAAACGGGAGAUACAAUAUAAGAUAUAAAGAAUAUAUAAGAUAAAAUUCAGAUAUUUAAGUAGAGAGAGUUUAGCAAAAAGAGUAAAAGAUAGAGCAAGGGUACGGGUGUUGAUUAAAAUAUGAAAAUAGAGAAGAAAAUAAAUAUUGUUUGGAGGAAAAAAGAAAGGUACGUGUAUUUUGUAUAGAAGGAGAAGAUGAGCUAAUACAUCUUAUUUAUCCAGUGAUUUAAGAAAAUUAAAGCGGAAAAAUCAAAACAAAUAUAGAACGACGAAUUAGAUGAAAGAGAAGAGAAAGUAUUAAAAAAAUUUUG